rnacentral:rRNA from 1 species
UUCCGGUUGAUCCUGCCGGAAGCGACCGCUUUGGGAGUUCGAUUAAGCCAUGCGAGUCGUGAGUCUUAGGGACUCGGCAUACUGCUCAGUAACACGUGGAUAACUGCCCUAUCGUCUGGAAUAACCUCGGGAAACUGAGAAUAAGGCCGGAUAGUUCACAAUGCCUGGAACGGUUUGUGAAUCAAGGUAGGAUGGGUCUGCGGCGUAUCAGGUUGUAGGGGGUGUAAAGGACCCCCUAGCCUUCGACGCGUACGGGUGUUGGGAGACAUAGCCCGGAGAUGGAUUCUGAGACACGAAUCCAGACCCUACGGGGUGCAGCAGGCGCGAAAACUUCACACUGCAGGAAACUGUGAUGAGGGAACUCCUAGUGCAUGCACUAUGUGUAUGUAGAUCCUACUCUUAACAAGUAGAGGGAAAGGGCUGGGAAAGACCGGUGCCAGCCGCCGCGGUAAUACCGGCAGCUCAAGAGGUCGUCGCUUUUAUUGGGCCUAAAACGUCCGUAGCCUGUUUGGUAAAUCUGUGGGUAAAUCAAUCCGCUCAACGGAUUGAAUUCUGCAGAGACUGCCAGACUAGGGACCGGGAGAGGUGUGGGGUACUCGAGGGGUAGGGGUAAAAUCCUGUCAUCCUUCGAGGACCACCAGUUGCGAAGGCGCCACACUGGAACGGAUCCGACGGUCAGGGACGAAGCCUAGGGGCACGAACCGGAUUAGAUACCCGGGUAGUCCUAGGUGUAAACGCUGUGAACUUGGUGUCGGGGGUCCGCAAGGGGUCCCCGGUGCCGGAGUGAAGAUGUUAAGUUCACUGCCUGGGGAGUACGGUCGCAAGGCUGAAACUUAAAGGAAUUGGCGGGGCAGCAC